AUUGAACGCUGGCGGCAGGCCUAACACAUGCAAGUCGAGCGGAUGAAGGGAGCUUGCUCCUGGAUUCAGCGGCGGACGGGUGAGUAAUGCCUAGGAAUCUGCCUGGUAGUGGGGGAUAACGUCCGGAAACGGGCGCUAAUACCGCAUACGUCCUGAGGGAGAAAGUGGGGGAUCUUCGGACCUCACGCUAUCAGAUGAGCCUAGGUCGGAUUAGCUAGUUGGUGGGGUAAAGGCCUACCAAGGCGACGAUCCGUAACUGGUCUGAGAGGAUGAUCAGUCACACUGGAACUGAGACACGGUCCAGACUCCGACGGGAGGCAGCAGUGGGGAAUAUUGGACAAGGGGCGAAAGCCGGAUCCAGCCAUGCCGCGUGUGUGAAGAAGGUCUUCGGAGUGUAAAGCACUUUAAGUUGGGAGGAAGGGAAGUAAGUUAAUACCUUGCUGUUUUGACGGAACCAACAGAAUAAGCACCGGCUAACUUCG
rnacentral:rRNA from 1 species